rnacentral:rRNA from 1 species
GACGAACGCUGGCGGCGUGCUUAACACAUGCAAGUCGAACGGAAAGGCCCUGCUUUUGUGGGGUGCUCGAGUGGCGAACGGGUGAGUAACACGUGAGUAACCUGCCCUUGACUUUGGGAUAACUUCAGGAAACUGGGGCUAAUGCCGGAUAGGAGCUCCUGCUGCAUGGUGGGGGUUGGAAAGUUUCGGCGGUUGGGGAUGGACUCGCGGCUUAUCAGCUUGUUGGUGGGGUAGUGGCUUACCAAGGCUUUGACGGGUAGCCGGCCUGAGGGGGUGACCGGCCACAUUGGGACUGAGAUACGGCCCAGACUCCUACGGGAGGCAGCAGUGGGGAAUAUUGCACAAUGGGCGGAAGCCUGAUGCAGCAACGCCGCGUGCGGGAUGACGGCCUUCGGGUUGUAAACCGCUUUCGCCUGUGACGAAGCGUGAGUGACGGUAAUGGGUAAAGAAGCACCGGCUAACUACGUG